rnacentral:rRNA from 1 species
UAGCGUUGCUCGGAAUCACUGGGCGUAAAGCGCACGUAGGCGGCUUGGUACGUCCGGGGUGAAAUCCUGGAGCUCAACUCCAGAACUGCCUUUGAUACUGGCGAUCUUGAGUCCGGGAGAGGUGAGUGGAACUGCGAGUGUAGAGGUGAAAUUCGUAGAUAUUCGCAAGAACACCAGUGGCGAAGGCGGCUCACUGGCCCGGUACUGACGCUGAGGUGCGAAAGCGUGGGGAGCAAACAGG